UGGAUUUAUUCAUUAUAUAUGAAUACAGUUCAUCCUCGGCACACAGUUCAUCCUCGGCACACGGCGCCUGAAAAUGUGAAAAGACAGGAGGGACAAAAUUCAUUAUGACAUUGGUAGAGUGUUAGAUGAUUGGACCAAGAUGUGCGACUACGCAGGUUUACAAAAUCGGAGGGAAAUGGAAGAGUAUGCAGACAAGUACUUUUUUCGUGUGCAGGGCUUUUUUAGGGUCAAGAUGAAAAAGAGCAAGGAAGUUAAUUGCGGCUUUCACAAUACAAGGCCCACUACUGCAUCAUUGUCACGGCAGGUAGCCUGGCUUUGUCAUGACCGUCAUGGGAAGAAGUGGACCAAAGUGCAGCGUGGACCAAGACGGGACUGGAGUGCAGUAGUCCACACUGACUAAACACCUCCCUCUGCAACUGGAUCCUGGACUUCCUGACGGGCCACCCCCAAGUGGUGAGGGUAGGUAGCAACACAUCUGCCACACUGAUCCUCAACACUGGAGCCCCCCAGGGGUACGUGCUCAGUCCCUUCCUGUACUCCCUGUUCAUCCUCGACUGCAUGGCCAGGCACGAUUCCAACACCAUCAUUAAGUUUGCAGAUGACACAACAGUGGUAGGCCAGAUCACUGAUAAUGACGAGACAGCUUGUAGGGAGGAGGUCAGAGACCUGGCCGUGUGGUGCCAGAAUAACAACCUAUCCCUCAUCGUAACCAAGACUAAGG